UAUACUCUUUGGGUACAUGUCGGGCGGGAUGCAACCCAAACAAAAUAUUGCAUAAUUAUCGCAAGUCUUUCGGUAUAAUAUCGCGCAACGUGAUAUCGCGACAACGAUAUUGAGUCGAUAUAUCAUGCACCCCUACUAUACGGUACGCCGCCUCCUGGACAUGCGACGUAGGGGUCGGGGCUACCGGUACCUUGUGGAUUGGGCCGGCUACGGACCGGAGGAAAGAUCCUGGAUUCCUGCCAGUCAGAUCUAGAUUCUACAGGGCCCACCCGAACAAGCCUGGCAGUCCGCCUGGAGGCGUCCGUUGAGGAUGGGGGUACUGUGAUGGUUGGGGUCGGCUGAAUCUGACAACACACACCUGCUGCCAAUCCACCAUCACCGCUCUCCCGCCACGCACACCUGCCAGCCACCUGCAAUCAAGUUCAGUACUUCAACCCCAGCUCAACAGACCAUCUCCGCUGAAUCGUUGUCUCAGCUUCACCGUGUUCGCUUCCAAGUCCUCAAGAUCCAGUCAGCUGGCCUCCCCAUUCAGUCCUCCUCCCACGGCACCCUGUUCCACCCUGCCUCCGUCUCCACGUCCAGCCAGCCCUUCCUCGGCUCCUCUGUUUCCCUACUCCAGUGUCUCCUCCUCGGGUCUGCGGCACCGGUUUCACCGCGCUCCCCCGAGCUCCCUAGCCAUCCUAGUUUCUGCCCCUGAGUCCCUCGCCAUCCUAGGUUUUCCCCUUGAGUCCCUCGCCAUCCUAGUUUCUGCUCCUGAGUUC